UACGGAGGGUGCGAGCGUUGUCCGGAAUCACUGGGCGUAAAGGGCGCGUAGGCGGCGCGGGAAGUCCGUGGUGAAAGCCCGAGGCUCAACUUCGGGUCGGCCAUGGAUACUCCUGGGCUCGAGCACUGUAGAGGCAGGUGGAAUUCCGGGUGUAGCGGUGGAAUGCGUAGAGAUCCGGAAGAACACCGGUGGCGAAGGCGGGUCUCUGGGCCGAUACUGGACGCUGAGGAGCGAAAGCGUGGGGAGCGAACAGG
rnacentral:rRNA from 1 species